rnacentral:rRNA from 1 species
GAGUUUGAUCAUGGCUCAGGAUGAACGCUAGCGGCAGGCUUAACACAUGCAAGUCGUGGGGCAGGCGCGGACUUCGGUCUGGCGGCGACCGGCAAACGGGUGCGGAACACGUACGCAACCUCCCUCAGAGCGGGGAAUAGCCUCUCGAAAGAGAGAUUAAUACCCCAUAGUAUCUUGAAGACACAUGUCUAUGAGAUUAAAGCUUCGGCACUUUGAGAUGGGCGUGCGGCUGAUUAGGUAGUUGGUAGGGUAACGGCCUACCAAGCCGACGAUCAGUAGCUGAUGUGAGAGCAUGAUCAGCCACACGGGCACUGAGACACGGGCCCGACUCCUACGGGAGGCAGCAGUGAGGAAUAUUGGUCAAUGGAGGAAACUCUGAACCAGCCAUGCCGCGUGGAGGAUGAAGGUCCUCUGGAUUGUAAACUCCUUUUAUAAAAGAAGAAACCCCAUUUUUCUAAAUGGGUUGACGGUACUUUAUGAAUAAGCACCGGCUAACUCCGUG